GACGAACGCUGGCGGCGUGCUUAACACAUGCAAGUCGAACGAUGAAGCUGGAGCUUGCUCUGGUGGAUUAGUGGCGAACGGGUGAGUAACACGUGAGUAACCUGCCCUGGACUCUGGGAUAAGCGUUGGAAACGACGUCUAAUACCGGAUAGGACCUCGGAUCGCAUGAUCUGGGGUGGAAAGUUUUUCGGUCUGGGAUGGACUCGCGGCCUAUCAGCUUGUUGGUGAGGUAAUGGCUCACCAAGGCGUCGACGGGUAGCCGGCCUGAGGGGGUGACCGGCCACGCUGGGACUGAGACACGGCCCAGACUCCUACGGGAGGCAGCAGUGGGGAAUAUUGCACAAUGGGCGCAAGCCUGAUGCAGCAACGCCGCGUGCGGGAUGACGGCCUUCGGGUUGUAAACCGCUUUUAGUAAGGAAGAAGGGGCUUCGGCCUUGACGGUACUUGCAGAAAAAGGACCGGCUAACUACGUGCCAGCCGCCGCGGUAAGAC
rnacentral:rRNA from 1 species